CUUCUGCCACCCUGUCCUGCCCGAAGGAGCUGAGCGGGUCCGAGGGCGAGACGGUGACCCUGCGGUGCACCUACGGGGAGGAGCAGCGGACCCGCACAAAUGACCCUCAGGGACCUCAUGCUGAAAGACUCCGGGAAGUACUGGUGCGGAGCACAGAAGCUGGGCCGGGAAGAAUGGUUCGAGGUCUCCCUGACUGUUUUCCCAAGAGCAGAGAGAUCCAUGGUCACCACCAGGGCCUGCUGCCCACUCUCCCCUGACCCCUCUUUCCAGGCCCUUCCGGCCACCACCGCCAGCCUGCAGCCCAGGGCGGGAGCCCAGCCCCUGCGGCCCCCCACACCCAGGAGUUCUAGCCCAGCCACGGUGCCUGACCCCUCCUCCUCCUCCUCCACGCCAGCAGGGGACCCCAGUCCUGUCUCCAGCAGCCACGGUUCCAUGGCCAGCAUGUCCAUCCCCACGGUCCGCCUGCUGGCCCCGGUCCUGGUGCUCCUGUCCCUCCUGCUGGCCAUGGGCCUCAUCACCCUGGGUGCCCACAUGUUCUGGGCUCGGAAGUCAGCACUGCUGGCUGUGGAGAUGCAGCGUGGUGAAAAGGUCCUCCUCACAGUCUCGGCUCCUGAAGCAGACAGGACCCCCAUGCCGUGCCCAGCAUCAGAGGAAGAGCCGGGCCUCUCUGAGUUCAUCUCAGUGUAGCCAUGGAUGCCCGCCAGGGCUCUGGGGGCGCUGUCCAGCAGGCCUCAGCCUAGCGCUCUCCAGGUUCCUGGGACCUCUGCACUGAGCCAUGUCCCCGCCUUUUUUAUUAUUCUGAAGCAAGGUCUGUCUCACUGAAUUGCUACUUCUGAAUUGCUGGGCCUGAAUUUAUAAUCCUACUGUCUCCGGCUCCCAGUGGGCUGGGAUCACACUCAGUGCCAGACUCUCCCUUCUGUGUGGCCCCAGCAUGGCCAAGAGGAGGGGCCAGAACAUAGCUCUGAACCACCCAGGGCCAGGCAGGGUUCAGCAGUCACCAGAUGUCUCCCCUCUGCAAAGCCCCUGCCCUGGGUCCCCCACCUGCCUCCUCCCCUUACCCAGCACAGGGCGAGCCCUGACAUCUCAGGAUGAGGCUGUGAACCCCUGCACCUGGCCCUGGGGGAUGCUGAGCCCCAUCAAGACCCCCAGAGCCAUCUUGAAGUCAGGCCAGGACUCUGAGGAGUGCCUGUGUCUCCUCAUGGCCAGGAAUCCCCCAGACCUCAGCUUGGGGGGUCCACACCAGGGGGCCCCUCUCAAGCAGGGCAGGGAGGGAAAAGGACCCCGAGUCUGUCCUGUGCCCUGGAGAGUGGGGGUCGAGGAGCAGGGCCACACACAUAAUUUUUCUAUUCUCUUUAAAAGUGAGAUGGGGGGCUCAGUGUACAAAACUCAAAGUUGGGGGCAAAACAGAAGGAAAGAAAGUGACCCCCAGUCUCCCCUCCUGGAGCACUGAUUCAGACUGCUCAGUGUCCCUGUGGUCCCAUGUGAUUGGUGGCUGUCCCUCCUUCAGGCUGAUGACCUCGUACCCCUCUCUAUCCUCCCCCGCCUGGCCAGCUCAUGGAGGCACCCUUCCCCUUAUUGGGCCUCUUGGGCCUCUUGAAUAAAGCUUCCUUCAAGUCACCCUGCAGCUGCACCUGGAUUCACUGCACCAACUCUGGCACCUGGCUUUGUCUGCACCUGGUGUUCUCUUUAAGAAGGAUUUGAUGGUGCACGCCUGUAAUCCCAGCACUCAGGAGGCUGAAGCAGGAGGAUCGUUGCAAAUUUGAGACUAGCCUGGGCUACAAAGUGAGCUCAAGCCCAGUAUGAACUGCAGAGUGAGAUCCUGUCUCAAAAAGACAAAAAAAUUUAAAAAACCAAAACACAAAAAAAGAGCACAAAGGACGUGGCAGGCAGCCCCGUGUUCCAUCCCCAGAAGGGAGCGGGAGGCAUCUGCAUAUAUGGCAGUAUCAGGUCACAGAACAUUUCCUUCUUUUCAGUCUUUGUUGCAGUGCUGAGAACCAAGCCCAGAGCCUCGUGCUCGCAAGGCCAGGCCAGUCCUGCCAUGCUGGGCUCCACAGGGAGAGAAGGGUCACAGUACCCAGGGUACCCCGCUCUCUGAGUGGCAUCACCAUCGGUCCUGGGGGCCCUGGCUGCAGCGCCUGUCACUGGGAAUGGGGGCAGGAGCCUCCCAGGAGGUGCUGAGCAGUGCCUGGGCCAGGGAAGGCUGUGCCAUUUACCUUGGGGAGAGGGAGCCCUAUACCCCCAGGUCCAGGAAAUUGGCUCUGGGUGGCCCCAGGUGCUGAGUCAAUGGUGAAGGAUUAGGACUUUUACAGAAGCGACCUCCCAGCUGUCUCGUGCUGAAAGCCACGCUUCCUGUCAGCCUGGCACCAAGGGACCAUUUAUCUGCCGAGCUUGGGGUACAAGACUGUCAUCCUAGCACUCGAGAGGCUGAAGCAGGAGGGUCACAGGUUGGAGCCCAGCCCAGGCAACACAGUAAGAUCCUGUCUCAAAUAAAGAUAAAAAUGGGCUGGGGGUGAGCUAAGUGCAAAGCAAAGACCAAGUGGACUGCUCUCCUUGAAUGCAGAAAAGGAAGGUCGAAGCGGGGCCCUGUGUCCACACUGCUUGCACAGAGCUAGCUGUUAUUUCCUUCUGCCUUCAGCUGGCUCCAAGGAAUGUAAAUAAAGCCAGCUAAGGUGCUGAUGCGUAAGCUUUAAGGGUAACCGGUACUUUCCUGUUUCCUCACAUUGUGUCCUCUUAAAUAGGGUGGCAGGGCCACUCCGCUCUGGGAAUGUCAGCCUCAAAGUAGGAGGCUAUGACUCCCCAGGGUACAAGUUUACAGGUCACAACCUGAAGCAGCAGCCUCCUGAAUCCGUUCUUACGCCAUCCCAAUGAAGCUAUGCAGACAGGUCUUUCUGCACAUCCUCCUCCCUGCAGCUUGCAGAGGUGCUCGCCCGCCGGCCAGCUCAGCUUACCGUGCUCACGUGGUUCCUGCCAUCCUCACUGUCACUCAUCCUCACACCACUGCCUUCUUCACAAGACAAUAAAUUGUGGGGGAGGCCUUGGAUCAGGGCCUUUGUCCGUCUCUCCUCACUUGGGUUGGACUUGGGACCACCUGGCUCUGAAUCUGCCUUGUGUCUUCCCUCUCGCUGUGGGCUGCACUGGUGGAGGUAGACUAGAAUUAACUUGCCAGGAUUCCAACUCGUUUCAGUGGGAUUACAAAUACAACUCUCCGGAUUGUGAGGACUGGGAACAGGAUCACAAUACACAGUAUUUGGGACUGGAGGCGUAGCUCAGUGGCACAGCACCUGCCCAGCAAGCACGAGGUCAGUAGUUCACUCUUUAGUACCAAAUCUAUAUAAUAUUUGGAUUAUACUACAAAGCCCUGGGUUCCUUUGAGACAGGAUCUCACUGUGUAGUUCAUGGUGGCCUUAAACUCACUUAGGUAACCCAGGCUGGCCUCAAAUUUGCAGUGAUCCUCCUGCCUCAGCCUCCCAAGUGCUGAGAUUACAGGUAUGUGCUGCCACACCUGGCCUCA
ensembl:lincRNA